AUACGUAGGUGGCAAGCGUUGUCCGGAAUUAUUGGGCGUAAAGCGCGCGCAGGCGGGCUGUUAAGUCUGGUGUGAAAGUGAGGGGCUCAACCCCGCAAGGGCACUAGAAACUGGCAGUCUUGAGGGCAGGAGAGGAAAGUGGAAUUCCCAGUGUAGCGGUGAAAUGCGUAGAUAUUGGGAAGAACACCAGUGGCGAAGGCGGCUUUCUGGACUGCAACUGACGCUGAGGCGCGAAAGCUAGGGGAGAGAACAGGAUUAGAUACCCUGGUAUUCCUAGCCGUAAACGAUGGGCACUAGGUGUGGGAGGUAUCGACCCCUUCCGUGCCGGAGUUAACGCAAUAAGUGCCCCGCCUGGGGAGUACGGCCGCAAGGUUGAA
rnacentral:rRNA from 1 species